rnacentral:rRNA from 1 species
GACGAACGCUGGCGGCGUGCCUAACACAUGCAAGUCGAACGGGGUUGAGCCCUUCGGGACUCAACUUAGUGGCGAACGGGUGAGUAACGCGUGAGAAACCUGCCUUUCAGUGGGGGACAACAGUUGGAAACGACUGCUAAUACCGCAUAACGUAUUUAGGGGGCAUCCCUUGAAUACCAAAGCUUUAUGUGCUGAAAGAUGGUCUCGCGUCUGAUUAGCUAGAUGGCGGGGUAACGGCCCACCAUGGCGACGAGCAGUAGCCGGUCUGAGAGGAUGAACGGCCACAUUGGGACUGAGAUACGGACCAGACUCCAGCGGGAGGCAGCAGUGGGGAAUAUUGGGCAAUGGGGGCAACCCUGACACAGAAACGCCGCGUGAAGGAAGAAGGCCUUCGGGUUGUAAACUUCUUUUAGUAGGGACGAAGAACGUGACGGUACCUACAGAAAAAGCAACGGCUAACUACGUGCCAGCCGCCGCCGUAACAC